UACGUAGGUGGCAAGCGUUGUCCGGAUUUAUUGGGUUUAAAGGGUGCGUAGGCGGCUUUGUAAGUCAGUGGUGAAAUAUGGCAACUCAACUGUCAAGGUGCCAUUGAUACUGCGGAGCUUGAGUACAGAUGAGGUAGGCGGAAUUGACGGUGUAGCGGUGAAAUGCUUAGAUAUCGUCAAGAACACCGAUAGCGAAGGCAGCUUACUAGGCUGUAACUGACGCUGAGGCACGAAAGUGUGGGGAUCAAACAGG
rnacentral:rRNA from 1 species